CGGUAACAUUUCUAGCUUGCUAGAAGAUGACGAGUGGCGGACGGGUGAGUAAUACUUAGGAAUAUGCCUUUGUGUGGGGGAUAACUAUUGGAAACGAUAGCUAAUACCGCAUAAUGUCUACGGACCAAAGGGGGCUUCGGCUCCCGCCCAGAGAGUGGCCUAAGCGAGAUUAGCUAGUUGGUGUGGUAAAGGCUCACCAAGGCGACGAUCUCUAGCUGUUCUGAGAGGAAGAUCAGCCACACUGGAACUGAGACACGGUCCAGACUCCUACGGGAGGCAGCAGUGGGGAAUAUUGCACAAUGGGGGAAACCCUGAUGCAGCCAUGCCGCGUGUGUGAAGAAGGCCUUCGGGUUGUAAAGCACUUUCAGUUGUGAGGAAAGUUUGAUGGUUAAUACCCAUUAGAUGUGACGUUAACAACAGAAGAAGGACCGGCUAACUCCGUGCCAGCAGCCGCGGUAAUACGGAGGGUCCGAGCGUUAAUCGGAAUUACUGGGCGUAAAGCGCACGCAGGCGGUUUGUUAAGCUAGAUGUGAAAGCCCCGGGCUCAACCUGGGAAUAGCAUUUAGAACUGGCAGACUAGAGUCUUGGAGAGGGGAGUGGAAUUCCAGGUGUAGCG
rnacentral:rRNA from 1 species